rnacentral:rRNA from 1 species
GACGAACGCUGGCGGCGUGCCUAAUACAUGCAAGUAGAACGCACAGUUUAUACCGUAGCUUGCUACACCAUAGACUGUGAGUUGCGAACGGGUGAGUAACGCGUAGGUAACCUGCCUGGUAGCGGGGGAUAACUAUUGGAAACGAUAGCUAAUACCGCAUAAUAUUAAUUAUUGCAUGAUAAUUAAUUGAAAGGUGCAAUUGCACCACUACCAGAUGGACCUGCGUUGUAUUAGCUAGUAGGUGAGGUAACGGCUCACCUAGGCGACGAUACAUAGCCGACCUGAGAGGGGGAUCGGCCACACCGGGAAUGAGACAAGGCCCAGACUCCUACGGGAGGGAGCAGUAGGGAAUCUUCGGCAAUGGACGAAAGUCUGACCGAGCAACGCCGCGUGAGGGAAGAAGGUUUUCGGAUCGGAAAGCUCUGUUGUAAGGGAAGAACGGGUGUGAGAGUGGAAAGUUCACACUGUGACGGUAUCUUACCAGAAAGGGACGGCUAACUACGUG